AUCCAGUUGACGAAUCCCAAAUAGGACGAAACGCGCAUCCUGGAU
rfam:Schistosoma mansoni strain Puerto Rico chromosome 2, complete genome